rnacentral:rRNA from 1 species
CCUACGGGUGGCAGCAGUGGGGAAUAUUGGGCAAUGGGCGCAAGCCUGACCCAGCAACGCCGCGUGAAGGAAGAAGGCUUUCGGGUUGUAAACUUCUUUUGACAGGGAAGAGUAGAAGACGGUACCUGUCGAAUAAGCCACGGCUAACUACGUGCCAGCAGCCGCGGUAAUACGUAAGUGGCAAGCGUUGUCCGGCAUUACUGGGUGUAAAGGGCGUGUAUCCGGGUUGACAAGUCAGAUGUGAAAUCCUGCGGCUUAACCGCAGAAAUGCACUUGAAACUGUUGGUCUAGAGUACAGGAGAGGCAGACGGAAGUCCUAGUGUAGCGGUGAAAUGCGUAGAUAUUAGGAGGAACACCAGUGGCGAAGGCGGUCGGCUGGCCAGUAACUGACGGUGAGGCGCGAAAGCGUGGGGAGCAAACAGGAUUAGAUACCCGAGUAGUC